UUGCUUCAGCAGCACAUGUACCAAAAUUGGAAUGAUACAGAGAAGAUUGGCACAGCCCCUGUACAA
ensembl:snRNA U6 U6 spliceosomal RNA